UUGGUGAGGUAACGGCUCACCAAGGCAAAGACGGGUAGCCGGUCUGAGAGGAUGGUCGGCCACACUGGAACUGAGACACGGUCCAGACACCUACGGGUGGCAGCAGUCGAGAAUCAUUCACAAUGGGGGAAACCCUGAUGGUGCGACGCCGCGUGGGGGAUGAAUGGCUUCGGCCCGUAAACCCCUGUCAUUUGUGAACAAACCUUUUGGAGUAAUAUUUCAAAAGCUGAUAGUAGCAAAAGAGGAAGGGACGGCUAACUCUGUGCCAGCAGCCGCGGUAAUACAGAGGUCCCAAGCGUUGUUCGGAUUCACUGGGCGUAAAGAGUGCGUAGGUGGCUAGGUAAGUUCGAUGUGAAAGCUCCGAGCUCAACUCGGAAAUUGCAUUGAAAACUGCUUGGCUAGAGGAUCGGAGGGGAGACUGGAAUUUUCGGUGUAGCAGUGAAAUGCGUAGAUAUCGAGAGGAACACCAGUGGCGAAGGCGAGUCUCUGGACGAAUCCUGACACUGAGGCACGAAAGCUAGGGUAGCAAACAGGAUUAGAUACCCUGG
rnacentral:rRNA from 1 species